AGUUCGUGGAGUGAUCUGUCUGCUUAAUUGCGUUUCACUAAAUUAAUGGGCUUGUAUAAGAUACUUUGUUUGCACACAGAGUUUGUUGCUUUGUAACUUCGGUUGCUCUGCACCUCUGUAGUUGCACGGUAUCUACAAACCUCGCCCAGAAGGCAACGAACGUGACCGCAACAUUUUGUUGCUUCUUCAAUUAUUUUUUUUUAUUAAUUAAUAAUUAAACUCAGAAGCUAACUAAAUGGACCGCUGAAUCUUUUCUAAACAGAGGAAGGUUGCGGCAAUAACAGGU
rnacentral:rRNA from 1 species